GUGACCAUGGUGCAACGGUUAGCACAGCGGGUUGUGGUCCCGUUAAUGAGGGUUCGAUUCCCUCUGGUCACCCCA
rnacentral:tRNA from 1 species